rnacentral:rRNA from 1 species
CCUACGGGGGGCAGCAGUGGGGGAUAUUGCACAAUGGGGGAAACCCUGAUGCAGCGACGCCGCGUGUGGGAAGACGGUCCUCUGGAUUGUAAACCACUGUCCCCAGGGACGAAGAUGACGGUACCUGGGGAGGAAGCUCCGGCUAACUACGUGCCAGCAGCCGCGGUAAUACGUAGGGAGCGAGCGUUGUCCGGAAUUACUGGGUGUAAAGGGAGCGUAGGCGGGACUGCAAGUUGGGUGUCAAAUCUACCGGCUCAACCGGUAGCCGCACUCAAAACUGCAGUUCUUGAGUGAAGUAGAGGCAGGCGGAAUUCGUAGUGUAGCGGUGAAAUGCGUAGAUAUUAGGAGGAACACCAGUGGCGAAGGCGGCCUGCUGGGCUUUUACUGACGCUGAGGCUCGAAAGUGUGGGGAGCGAACAGGAUUAGAUACCCCGGUAGUC